rnacentral:rRNA from 1 species
UACGAAGGGGGCUAGCGUUGUUCGGAAUUACUGGGCGUAAAGCGUGCGCAGGCGGUUGUGCAAGACAGGUGUGAAAUCCCCGGGCUUAACCUGGGAACUGCGCUUGUGACUGCACGACUAGAGUACGGUAGAGGGGGGUGGAAUUCCUGGUGUAGCAGUGAAAUGCGUAGAUAUCAGGAGGAACAUCGAUGGCGAAGGCAGCCCCCUGGACCUGUACUGACGCUCAUGCACGAAAGCGUGGGGAGCAAACAGGA